ACACAUUUCCCCUUGCUGCACUUUUAUAAAUAAAAAUAUGAAUAUGAAUAUAUGAAUAUAUAUGAAUAUAUAUGAAUAUAUAUAUAUAUAAUAUAUGAAUAUAUAUAUAUAUACAUAUAUCUCUGCCGUGCAGUUGGACUCGGAUGGAGAUGAAGAUCCAUUUGACUUCCCCGAGGGAGGAUUCACAGGCGUUGAAACGAGUCCGCCUUGCCACACAAAUCGCCGUAGGAUUUUCCAAACAUCAGUUCACAGUUUCAAACAACACAGAAAAGAAGAUACGCGGUGGGAAGUGUUUCGAGUGCUAAGUGCGAUGGACACAACAGCUGCUCUCCUCGAAACUCGGAAUAGUCUUCAUCAUCAACUUUAGCGGCAUCAGCUUCGGAACAGAGUCAUUCCCUUUGGCCAUGUCAUCAUCAGAGCCAUCGUAAAUUGUUUACUGGAUGGCCUCAGAAAACUUGCUUCAAACAAAGUCAUGUGGACACCGGGCAAUGGGCGGUGGCCAAGAGUUUGAGGUGAACCUUCGUCCAUAAUGAUCACCAUCCGAAUCGAUAGUCAGUCAGAUUCAUCAUACAGAUUCCAGAUUUGGCCAACAAUUCGUUUCGUCGUUCUUUGAUGACACAUUGAGUCUUAUCCCGAAGUCAUUUCAGUCGAACCGCCACACAAGAGAGCUAUUUAAUUAAAUACAUAUGGGCUCCUAUAAUUUCAUCAGCCGUUUAAAAGAACAAAUACAUGGAAAAUUUCUUGCAAUUUAUAUUUACUAAGUGCAAAGCGAUAGCACAAAGAUGCGGCGGCAUGUAAUCAGUAGAAAUAAACACUUGCGCCUCUAAAUAGAUAAAAAUAUCUUCACUUCAAUAAACAUGAAAAUCAUCGGGCGGGCUGAAAACGAGCGCGAAAUGUGUUGAAAAUUGCACAAGCAAUGCGAUCAUAAAGCAUUCGCCAUUAAUGACACCAGCCCGACAGAUACAUCCCAUUGUCAAUAACUUUGCGCAGCGCAGAUUGCCAGCUCGUCGUCCCGCCCUCCCCCUAUUGCCCACCCGCAUUACAAAAUCAAAUUCAAAUUUCCCAAACGAGCAACCGCAGAAUGCAAAAUGCAGCCGAUGACGAUGUCGAUGCAACUGGCCCAAGGGGAAGUGGAAAGGAUUGGCGGCGCACACUGCUCUGACAUUUAGAAAUGUGGUAAGCAAACGUUCACUCCGCCUUUUUGGGGAAUUCCACAACGAAGUUUGCUAUCGAGUCCCAUUUGAAAAUCAACUAAACCGAUCUCAAACGCUUAAUGCCAAUCCAGUGAAAAACACCGGGCAUACAGAACUUGACAGUUCACUUCAAGAAAUAAAGAAAGUUUGAAGUUUGGUUUUUAGGCGGAGAGUUUUUAUACCAUUACUGAUCAUUUUAUAAUGUCGUAAUAAAUGGAAG
ensembl:ncRNA lncRNA:CR45334 long non-coding RNA:CR45334